rnacentral:tRNA from 1 species
GCGCAAUUGGCGGAAUUGGCAGACGCACCAGAUUUAGGUUCUGGCGGGCGACCGUGGGGGUUCAAGUCCCUCAUUGCGCACCA